AGUGAACGCUGGCGGUAGGCCUAACACAUGCAAGUCGAACGGCAGCACAGUAAGAGCUUGCUCUUACGGGUGGCGAGUGGCGGACGGGUGAGGAAUACAUCGGAAUCUACUUUUUCGUGGGGGAUAACGUAGGGAAACUUACGCUAAUACCGCAUACGACCUACGGGUGAAAGCAGGGGAUCUUCGGACCUUGCGCGAUUGAAUGAGCCGAUGUCGGAUUAGCUAGUUGGCGGGGUAAAGGCCCACCAAGGCGACGAUCCGUAGCUGGUCUGAGAGGAUGAUCAGCCACACUGGAACUGAGACACGGUCCAGACUCCUACGGGAGGCAGCAGUGGGGAAUAUUGGACAAUGGGCGCAAGCCUGACCCAGCCAGACCGCGUGGGUGAAGAAGGCCUUCGGGUUGUAAAGCCCUUUUGUUGGGAAAGAAAAGCAGCAGGUUAAUACCCCGCUGUUCUGACGGUACCCAAAGAAUAAGCACCGGCUAACUUCGUG
rnacentral:rRNA from 1 species